CUAAGUUUGAUGGCGACCGGCGCACGGGUGAGUAACACGUAUCCAACCUGCCGAUGACUCGGGGAUAGCCUUUCGAAAGAAAGAUUAAUACCCGAUGGCAUAGUUCUUCCGCAUGGUAGAACUAUUAAAGAAUUUCGGUCAUCGAUGGGGAUGCGUUCCAUUAGCUUGUUGGCGGGGUAACGGCCCACCAAGGCGUCGAUGGAUAGGGGUUCUGAGAGGAAGGUCCCCCACAUUGGAACUGAGACACGGUCCAAACUCCUACGGAAGGCAGCAG
rnacentral:rRNA from 1 species